ensembl:ncRNA D1081.16 ncRNA
AACAGCCGCAUUCAUCCUAUCCAUCCAUCCGGCUGCCGUUUGUGGGCGGGAUCCCUCAUAUGUCAUUCGGGGUCCUUCCAUUCCCAUCUUUACUUCGCCUUCCCGCGGGGUGCUGCCUGGGCUCAUUCCUUCACUUCUUUGCCUCCUUUCUUCGCCACUAUUACACCGCUUUCGGAUGCUCGUCUCCUCUUGCUUCUUCUUGCUUCUUUUGCCU